CUGCUUAUUUAAUAUUCAUGCAUUGGUGUCCAGGGUUUCUUCGAGCACAUCUUUGCGGUGUGGCCAGUCUCCACGCUCUUUGAGCUGAACGGGAGCGUCCACGAGUGGUGGUUCAGAUGGAAGCUGGACCGAUUUGUGGUGAUACACGGCAUGUUGUUUGCCUUCCUCUACCUGGUGCUUCAGAAGCGCAUGGUGCUGUUUGAGGGCAAAGGAGACGCUCUCUUCUCUCCCAAGACCUCCAACGUGCUCCUCUUCCUCUCUGUCGUCUCCUUCAUUACUUACUCCAUAUGGGCCAGCAGUUGCAAAACCAAAACCGAGUGCAACGAGAUGCAUCCUUACAUCUCUGUGGUGCAGGUAGAUUCUUUUGUCCGUCCUAUUUUCGUGUCAGAGGUACAGUAUAUUUUGAUGUUCUGUGGUUAUUAAACCAAUGUUUGUCUUGAGAAAUAUUUCAUUGUCACAUUACAGGAUUAAAUGACUGCAAAAACAAGGGAGUUGCCUUAAUUCAUUGCUAAAGAUAGUUAUGGCACUACCACUGGGGACACUGGUGAAGUUGUGCAAUAGAUAACUUCAUUAAGAACCCUGAAACUUGACGUAGCGAUUGUGAAUCACUCUUACUUGAGUGUUAUAGGACUGUGUAUCAGAACGCCGCUGCUCGUGUCCUCACUAACAUUAACGGCCCGUCCACACAGCGGCGUGCG